GACGAACGCUGGCGGCGUGCCUAAUACAUGCGAGUUGAGCGCUGAAGGUUGGUACUUGUACCAACUGGAUGAGCAGCGAACGGGUGAGUAACGCGUGGGGAAUCUGCCUUUGAGCGGGGGACAACAUUUGGAAACGAAUGCUAAUACCGCAUAAAAACUUUAAACACAAGUUUUAAGUUUGAAAGAUGCAAUUGCAUCACUCAAAGAUGGUCCCGCGUUGUAUUAGCUAGUUGGUGAGGUAAAGGCUCACCAAGGCGAUGAUACAUAGCCGACCUGAGAGGGUGAUCGGCCACAUUGGGACUGAGACACGGCCCAAACUCCUACGGGAGGCAGCAGUAGGGAAUCUUCGGCAAUGGACGAAAGUCUGACCGAGCAACGCCGCGUGAGUGAAGAAGGUUUUCGGAUCGUAAAACUCUGUUGGUAGAGAAGAACGUUGGUGAGAGUGGAAAGCUCAUCAAGUGACGGUAACUACCCAGAAAGGGACGGCUAACUACGUG
rnacentral:rRNA from 1 species